GCAAGAUACUGCCAGAAAAGAUCUUACUUCUUGGUGAGCUUCCAGGGAUAUUAGCAUCUCUCAAAGAGGCCCUCGAGUCCAUGAAACGAGGUUCAUUCAGCUCAAGCCCAAGAUCAUCUGAGCUGUGUCUUCCUGAAACCUCAGAAAUGAUUUCCCUCGGUGUUUCUGAUGUCCCCAAAAGAGUCUAUGGCAGACUGAACAAGUCAUGAACUUCUCUUUUUACUCAAGAUUUGGCCACUUUACUUUUUGCUAUUGUAUUUCACUUUGUUUGACUUAAAGGAUUAGUUCAC